UACGUAGGGGGCAAGCGUUAUCCGGAUUUACUGGGUGUAAAGGGAGCGUAGACGGCGAUGCAAGUCUGAAGUGAAAGGCGGGGGCCCAACCCCCGGACUGCUUUGGGAACUGUAUGGCUGGAGUGCAGGAGAGGUAAGUGGAAUUCCUAGUGUAGCGGUGAAAUGCGUAGAUAUUAGGAGGAACACCAGUGGCGAAGGCGGCUUACUGGACUGUAACUGACGUUGAGGCUCGAAAGCGUGGGGAGCAAACAGG
rnacentral:rRNA from 1 species